rnacentral:rRNA from 1 species
GCCUGAUCCAGCCAUGCCGCGUGCAGGAUGACGGUCCUAUGGAUUGUAAACUGCUUUUGUACGAGAAGAAACACUCCUACGUGUAGGAGCUUGACGGUAUCGUAAGAAUAAGGAUCGGCUAACUCCGUGCCAGCAGCCGCGGUAAUACGGAGGAUCCAAGCGUUAUCCGGAAUCAUUGGGUUUAAAGGGUCCGUAGGCGGUUUAGUAAGUCAGUGGUGAAAGCCCAUCGCUCAACGGUGGAACGGCCAUUGAUACUGCUGAACUUGAAUUAUUAGGAAGUAACUAGAAUAUGUAGUGUAGCGGUGAAAUGCUUAGAGAUUACAUGGAAUACCAAUUGCGAAGGCAGGUUACUACUAAUGGAUUGACGCUGAUGGACGAAAGCGUGGGUAGCGAACAGGAUUAGAUACCCUGGUAGUCCACGCCGUAAACGAUGGAUACUAGCUGUUGGAAGCAAUUUCAGUGGCUAAGCGAAAGUGAUAAGUAUCCCACCUGGGGAGUACGUUCGCAAGAAUGAAACUCAGAGGAAUUGACGGGGGCCCGCACAAGCGGUGGAGCAUGUGGUUUAAUUCGAUGAUACGCGAGGAACCUUACCAAGGCUUAAAUGUAGAUUGACCGGUUUGGAAACAGAUCUUUCG